GCCACCGUAGCUCAGAGGCAGAGCAGCGGUUUCGUAAACCGCGGGUCGUCGGUUCGACUCCGACCGGUGGCUCCA
rnacentral:tRNA from 1 species